GUCUAUUUCUGCUCUCUUAAUAUUUGCUCUUAUUUCUGUUUCUUGGUUGCUUUCUUGCUCAAUUGGUAUUGUGGUGUUUCCUUUGCUUUGAGUUGAUUUAAAGCCUUUUUUUCUUUCAAUAAUUUCGAUUGGUUUUGCAUUUUGUUUGUAAACUUUGGGGAUUUUGGGUUGAGGGUUAUGUUCAAUUCGGGGACCUUUUUGGCUUAAGUUCAUGCUAAUUACU
rnacentral:misc_RNA from 1 species